AACGCGAAGAACCUUACCUACCCUUGACAUGGUCGGAAUUCUGCUGAGAGGCGGAAGUGCUCGAAAGAGAACCGAUACACAGGUGCUGCAUGGCUGUCGUCAGCUCGUGUCGUGAGAUGUUGGGUUAAGUCCCGCAACGAGCGCAACCCUUGUCAUUAGUUGCUACGAAAGGGCACUCUAAUGAGACUGCCGGUGACAAACCGGAGGAAGGUGGGGAUGACGUCAAGUCCUCAUGGCCCUUAUGGGUAGGGCUUCACACGUCAUACAAUGGUACAUACAGAGGGCCGCCAACCCGCGAGGGGGAGCUAAUCCCAGAAAGUGUAUCGUAGUCCGGAUUGUAGUCUGCAACUCGACUACAUGAAGUUGGAAUCGCUAGUAAUCGCGGAUCAGCAUGUCGCGGUGAAUACGUUCCCGGGCCUUGUA
rnacentral:rRNA from 1 species